UACGGAGGGUGCAAGCGUUGUCCGGAUUUAUUGGGUUUAAAGGGUGCGUAGGCGGCCGAUUAAGUCUGGGGUGAAAGCCCGUUGCUCAACAACGGAACUGCCCUGGAAACUGGUUGGCUUGAGUACAGACGAGGGUGGCGGAAUGGAUGGUGUAGCGGUGAAAUGCAUAGAUACCAUCCAGAACCCCGAUUGCGAAGCAGCUGCCUAGACUGUAACUGACGCUGAGGCACGAAAAGCGUGGGGAGCGAACAGG
rnacentral:rRNA from 1 species